rnacentral:rRNA from 1 species
CACCGCCCGUCACAUCAUGAAAGCCGUUUGUACCCGAAGUCAGCAAGCCAACCGCAAGGGGGCCGCUGCCGAAGGUAUGGAUGGUGAUUGGGAUG